CUAAAGAGGAUCAUUCAAUUUCUGUAGUACAGAUGCCUAUUCGGAUGAGGGGUGCUCUGCUCUUUUCAAUAGGCCUGUUGAUGGUGGGAUGCUUCACUCCGUGUUCAACUGCCUUUAACGCUCUACAAGAAGACCCUCUCCGACUAUUAAUGUUCCAGUCGAGGAAUUCUUUGCCGGUUAGCUUUCAACGCUUGCGGCUGAAGCGAGGACCCGGAUAUCUUGGCGUCCGGGGCAGAAAAUCCGAGAAGGUCAAGACCAAAGAACCUUUUCCCGGAUUCAUGGGAGUCCGAGGCAAAAAAAGCUUUCUCACCUACUCAGAGUCCAAUCUCCCAAGUCAUCUAAAGCCAAAAGCAGCAUCUUGUUCACACAUCUUGUCAAGUGCGAAGCUCUAAGGACCGACUGGAAUUAAGUUGCAUCAUCGACGGAAAACAUUUAUCCUUUGCAAUCACAUUGCAUUGGAAAUCUUAUUUGCUAACAUUUGCUGUGUUCACCUCUUUGGUGCUCUGUGUUAAAAGGAGUACAACAGAAAGUUUUUGUAAUUAAUAUAUUUUAAGUGCGGAAUGGAUGCUCAUUGAAGGAGGAAUUGAAUUUUUUAUAGAAUAAAACCUUCUGGUGAAA